rnacentral:rRNA from 1 species
UAGGGAAUCUUCCGCAAUGGACGCAAGUCUGACGGAGCAACGCCGCGUGAGUGAAGAAGGAUUUCGGUUCGUAAAACUCUGUUGUUAGAGAAGAUCAGCGCAUAGAGUAACUGUUAUGCGUGUGACGGUAUCUAACCAGAAAGCCACGGCUAACUACGUGCCAGCAGCCGCGGUAAUACGUAGGUGGCAAGCGUUGUCCGGAUUUAUUGGGCGUAAAGCGAGCGCAGGCGGUUAGAUAAGUCUGAAGUUAAAGGCAGUGGCUCAACCAUUGUAGGCUUUGGAAACUGUUUAACUUGAGUGCAGAAGGGGAGAGUGGAAUUCCAUGUGUAGCGGUGAAAUGCGUAGAUAUAUGGAGGAACACCGGUGGCGAAAGCGGCUCUCUGGUCUGUAACUGACGCUGAGGCUCGAAAGCGUGGGGAGCGAACAGG